rnacentral:rRNA from 1 species
GUACACUCCUGCGGGAGGCAGCAGUGAGGAAUAUUGAACAAUGGGUGGAAGCCUGAUCCAGCCAUCCCGCGUGCAGGAAGACGGCCCUAUGGGUUGUAAACUGCUUUUAUCUGGGGAUAAACCUACUUACGUGUAAGUAGCUGAAGGUACCAGAAGAAUAAGCACCGGCUAACUCCGUGCCAGCAGCCGCGGUAAUACGGAGGGUGCAAGCGUUAUCCGGAUUUAUUGGGUUUAAAGGGUCCGUAGGCGGACUGAUAAGUCAGUGGUGAAAUCCGACAGCUUAACUGUCGAACUGCCAUUGAUACUGUUAGUCUUGAGUAAGGUUGAAGUGGCUGGAAUAAGUAGUGUAGCGGUGAAAUGCAUAGAUAUUACUUAGAACACCAAUUGCGAAGGCAGGUCACUAAGUCUUAACUGACGCUGAUGGACGAAAGCGUGGGGAGCGAACAGGAUUAGAAACCCGUGUAGUCCCA